rnacentral:rRNA from 1 species
CCUACGGGAGGCAGCAGUGGGGAAUAUUGGACAAUGGGGGCAACCCUGAUCCAGCCAUGCCGCGUGUGUGAAGAAGGCCCUCGUGUUGUAAAGCACUUUCAGUGAGGAAGAACGCCUGGUGGUUAAUACCCAUCAGGAAAGACAUCACUCACAGAAGAAGCACCGGCUAACUCCGUGCCAGCAGCCGCGGUAAUACGGAGGGUGCGAGCGUUAAUCGGAAUUACUGGGCGUAAAGCGCGCGUAGGUGGCUUGAUAAGCCGGUUGUGAAAGCCCCGGGCUCAACCUGGGAACGGCAUCCGGAACUGUCAAGCUAGAGUGCAGGAGAGGAAGGUAGAAUUCCCGGUGUAGCGGUGAAAUGCGUAGAGAUCGGGAGGAAUACCAGUGGCGAAGGCGGCCUUCUGGACUGACACUGACACUGAGGUGCGAAAGCGUGGGUAGCAAACAGGAUUAGAUACCCCAGUAGUC